rnacentral:rRNA from 1 species
CCAGACUCCUACGGGAGGCAGCAGUGGGGAAUAUUGCACAAUGGGGGAAACCCUGAUGCAGCGACGCCGCGUGAGGGAUGAAGUAUUUCGGUAUGUAAACUUCUAUCAGCAGGGAAGAAAAUGACGGUACCUGACUAAGAAGCCCCGGCUAACUACGUGCCAGCAGCCGCGGUAAUACGUAGGGGGCAAGCGUUAUCCGGAUUUACUGGGUGUAAAGGGAGCGUAGACGGCAUGGCAAGUCUGAUGUGAAAACCCGGGGCUCAACCCCGGGACUGCAUUGGAAACUGUCAGGCUGGAGUGUCGGAGAGGCAAGUGGAAUUCCUAGUGUAGCGGUGAAAUGCGUAGAUAUUAGGAGGAACACCAGUGGCGAAGGCGGCUUGCUGGACGAUGACUGACGUUGAGGCUCGAAAGCGUGGGGAGCAAACAGGAUUAGAUACCCGCGUAA